rnacentral:tRNA from 1 species
GCCCUUUUAGCUCAGUGGCAGAGCAGUGGUAUCGUAAACCAUCGACGUCAGUUCGAUUCUGACAGAGGGCU